AGUGCAGAAUAACCCUGCGAAAGCAGAGCUAAUACUGCAUGUGGUUGUCGGAUGGCAUCAUCUGACAACUAAAGUCGCAAGACGCUCUCAGAUGGGCCCGCGGCCUAUUAGCUAGUUGGUGAGGUAACGGCCCACCAAGGCUAUGAUGGGUAGCUGGUCUGAGAGGACGGACAGCCACACUGGGACUGAGACACGGCCCAG
rnacentral:rRNA from 1 species